AUACAGAGGGUGCAAGCGUUAUUCGGAAUUACUGGGCGUAAAGCGCGCGUAGGCGGAUGAUUAAGUCAGUUGUGAAAGCCCUGGGCUCAACCUAGGAACUGCAUCUGAUACUGGUCGUCUAGAGUUUAAGAGAGGGAAGUGGAAUUCCAGGUGUAGCAGUGAAAUGCGUAGAUAUCUGGAGGAACAUCAGUGGCGAAGGCGACUUCCUGGCUUAAAACUGACGCUGAGGUGCGAAAGCGUGGGUAGCGAACGGGAGUAGAAACCCUUGUAGUCC
rnacentral:rRNA from 1 species